UACAAUACGUCAGUGAUAUAUAUAUAUAUAUUAUGGUCGUAGAUAGCAAUUGCUAACGCAUUUACAAUGCGUGGACAUUCAGCAGCUUUUAAAGUGUCUGUAGAAUGGUCGUGUUAAGUUAAUCGUAUGUGUUCCGUUUUAAGUACAGUUUUAUGGCUUAGAGCGCAGCUUUUAGGGCCUGACAUCUGUGAAUAAGAAGGCUUAGGUCCAUUGUAAUGUGACACCAUGUGGUCUGGCAUCAACUUGUGAGAAACAUAACUUCAUCCAGCUUGGGAAAGGAAACACGAAUGGUGUGAUGUUCUACUAUAUUACCUUCGAAACACUGAGUCUUCGGGAGAUGCUUGGGAACUUCACGGGUGCUUGGACCAUUCUGGGAUGCUUAAGCCAAGACGGGGUUUAGAAUUCCACACCUUGAAUAUUAAGAUUUCAGAAGAAAGUAAUGUCAUACGCCAGCAAAUACAGUAAUUAGACUUGAAGGUGAAAACAGGGAGGGGUGUGCUAGCCAAACUAGUACCUAAAAAUUCAGAACAUGAAGACAGUGCCCUGGAAGCAAGCCUGGCCCAAUCAGACGCUACAACAUAAGCAUACAGCAAUGCAGAGAAAUUAUAAGCCCCCUUUUCCAAUUUGGAAAGUAGGGCAGUAGCUAAACUCUGGCAGCUCAUCCCUGUAAAUAGGUUGGUGGGUUAGUGUAUGAUAGGCACAGGCUGCUACUAAGGCAUGAGCAGAUGUGACUGGAGCUGAGUUUGCUGGAAUGUCAGAAGGUAAGAGGAGGAGUUACUGGAGAAGCACCAGUGCACCUGCAGGAAGAAGACUGGAUGAAGGUAACAUAACAUUUUGCUGUGUGGUGCUCUUACGCUUCCUGGCCUCCUUUAUGUGCAGCCUCAACACUAGAUUGAAAGAAAUGCUGUGCCAACUUUGCCACUGGGGAGAAGGGGCCAUAAGUCCUCGUGGAUAGAAGGGAGGGUGCCCCCAGGUUACGUCUUUCCCCGUCAGCAAUUGAACCUUGAUUGGGUUUUGAAAGAAAUGGGUAUAUAAUGCAAAGCUUUCUUAGGACUUUCACAUAUUGCUCGUGGAGUUUUAACAGAUUUUUUUAAAUGUCAGUAGCUUGAAUGUGAUAUGUUUGGUCCAUGGAACUGCACCUCACUAGACAUUCCCCUCUCUGACCUGCAGAAGGGGUUCAUUUUUACCUUAACAGACAGAUCAUUUAAUAUUUCUGCAGAUGCAGUCUGUGAGUACCAAUUAAAAGAGUGCUUGUUCUUGAUCAGUCUCCAUGGAGGUGGUGUAAUAUAGAGCUGGUGAUUGCUUCACACUGCAGAGUGAUUCUUGAAUGGUAUCAGUUUCAUGUAUGUCCACUGUUUUAAAUUAAUACACCCAAUGAUGUGUUCUGUGUAUUCAGCUGCUUGUUUGACACAUCAGUGAAGGAUGUGUUGAUUAUCAAAUAAGUGUUUUAUUCAAGGUGAAGACAUUCCAUGAGAACUGUAAGCUAUGAGGAAACUGAACAAAUGAAUGGUGGUUACACAUAGGUUUUUCUGGUGGCCUGUGAUAGAGAAAAUGUGUGUAAUUUGUGUAUGAGUUGCCCUUGAUGGUGUUGUGGAAUGCAGGGACAAGUAGAAUAUGGCAUGGUAGUUACAGCUGUCCAUCCCCAGCUGCAAGGAGUCCAUGGCCCAUAUAUUAUGGGUGUAUGGAAUGGCACAUGAAAUUGAGUAGAACAGUAGCAAGCAGAUGUCUGUGUGGCAUAGGUGGAGGGCCUGUGCAAGAGGACAGAUGGGUGACUGCCAGAUUGUUGCAGGGGCAGUGGUCCAUUAGCACAGCCAUCAUCACCCCGAUGUGCUGGUAUUUCAUAAAUUGUUAGUGAGAUGGAUGCCCAAGGAACUUAUCACACAACAGAAGGGCCACCUCACACCAAAAGUACCACUUGAAGCAAGGGUCAUGGGUUCAUCUUCAGUGCAUCCUAUGGUAAUUAUUUUCCAAACAAUUUAGGAGUGACCCAGAGGACAAACAAUUGACCAUGGAUAUGCAGCAGUCAGAACUGACAGGAAUCAUUGGUUCCUGGCCAGAAGGAUUUUUAAUUAACAAUCAGGUGGCCAUUUAAUGCUAUAAAAUCUAAAUUAGCAGGGCCAGUUGCAUACCUUCUGCUUUACAAUAUGGAAUGGAACAAUGAGUUUGUUCCUGUGCUGUAUAAUUAGUUUGUCUGGCACACAGGUGUGCUUCUAUGGUCAGGAGGUUAGUCUACAUGACAUGCAUUAGCAAGGUAUGUGAACUGUGUGAAGGUAGAGGCAUAUAGACCUGUCGCUGAGGCAAAUCAUCUUGAACUCUUCACAGUGUUGUUAACACUCAUUGAGAUUGGAGUAGAAUGCAAAAAGAGUGUGUUACAAUAAUUCCCUGGCAUUGAGGGAGCAUGUGAUGCAGUAUUUAGUUGCCAGAAGACGAGUUGGAGCUACUGUUUAUCGCCCCCCAUGCUAGAAAACAGGAUUAAGGGAGCCUCACUUGUGGAGGAUAACCUAAGGAUGUCUUUGGGGGGAAGUUUAGACAUUUCUGCUGUGAAUCCUUGUAGGGCUCAAUGUUGCUGGCUGCUGAGCAGUAGGAUGUGCGAAUGAUACUGUUACCCCAAUAAAUGGUAAACUGGGGAUAUCACAGAUGCUCCUCAGAGUGGUGCAGGACUGUUAUAACAUGUGGGCUGUCUCAAGGAAACAGACUGGCAAAUACAUUCUAAGGCAAGAUUGUUUCUUGGAAACCAACUGAUUACAGAGCACAGUUUCCAGGGAUACAGAAACUGAAAGUUGUAAACACUUAGAAUAGCAAACCAUUGUUUGGGAAUGAAUACGUGGUUUCCAAGACAGUACAUUCAUGAACAGGAAUGGAACCCUUUGAGGCCAUGAUCUCUCUUUGGACUGCGUGGCAAUUACAAAAGGCAGUGAAUUCGUGAAUUUGAGAGAGCAGAGACCAGUCAGAUUCGUCAGACAUUCAGGAGUUCAAUAUGUGAGCUGUUAUAAUUGAUUGUAAUUGUAAAGAAGUGCCAGUAAACCCAAUCAUCAAAUCCAGAACCCAUUAUUAAUCAUCACACUAUCCCCUUGUACAUGACAAUAUAAUAACCAUACUGUUUACCAAAAAAGAACUUGACAUGGGUGGCUUUUAGAACAAGCUUUCCUUGGUAAUAGAUAUGCAGCAGUCCACUGAAAUCAUCUUGUGAUAACAUUGAAGAGAAGACAGGUGGAUAUUACAACUGGACAUGAUAAAGAAGACAGCCUUGCAGGGACUUCUAGACCUGUACAGAUGGCAGUAAGAUGCUUCAUUAUUUAUGUUGCCUGAAUUAGGUGCCGUCACAAGCUAGCACAGCUGAAUCCGAUAAAUUACAAAUGACCGGCUGUGCAGGUGUAAUUUUACAUGUAGCUGUGGAUAUGACUUCAGCAGUCACAGUUGAAGUUCUCCUGUGAGUUCAGUACAUCUGAUUGAGGCAGAUGCUCUUGCCAGAAUGCGUGCAUUUAUGGCCUGUAUAGGAAUGCAACAUGCAUGUGCAGUUCCUUUCAUGGACCUAAUGGAGGAGUCCCAGAAAUAUAACAGAAUUCACUCUCUACUGUUGUGAAAGUGUGUGGCAACCAGAAAGUUAGAGCGAUGUGCAAGUAUUGUGGUGUAGUUUCUGAAUGAGAUUCAAAUUCUCUUUUUAAAUGAGCAAACUUUCCCCCCCCCCUCCCGAAUGUUACUCCAAAGUUUUGCCUGCUACAUACUGUGAUUUGGGCAAUGAAAGCAGCCAUGUUGUUGGUGAAGUAAUGGUACUACUCCUAGUUUUGAGACAUGAAUGAAGAAAUUGUUUUGGUUAUAGGAUGUAAAAUGAUGGCACUCUGUUUAUUUCACAAACCUGGAGCAUUGCAACCGCAAGAAUUGUAACACUGGAAUCUUGUCAUGCAGUGAAGUUUAACUGAAGCACAUGAUUCCUCCCAGAUUAGCUUGAAAUUAGUCUGGGACUGUCUGCUGUUGCCUGCAACACUGGCACAAUGUAAACGCUGCAAGUGAUAUGGUGUGUUGACAAACUGGGGCUCUGCGUGGUUAUUCAUAGGGCCAGACACUGCCUGUGGCAUGCCUGGUGGACCUCUCUGGGAGGGGGAGUAUAGCCACCUGGAGUAUUGGCAGUCUAUAUAUAACUGGACACAGCCACAUGAACAGUCUCUUUAAGUUCAUCAGUUUAAGAUGAUCUCUGUUUCAGUGUUCAAAUCCACUGUUCCACAAAGAAACCUUAAUGGUGGUUUUGCUGCAUAAUGCUUUUGGGAGCCCUUAGUAAAUAAGUACUGCCACUUUGGAGCAUGUCUUUCUACUCCAGGGAGUGUCAUGGGGUCCCAGUCAGGAAAUGGUUUUUGUUUGUUGAAGGCACAAGGUCACUGAUGGGAAUGGUUAUAGUGCUGAAGCAGUUUGUUAUCAACCCCUGUGCUAACUAAUGAGAUUAAUGGUUUUAUGUGUAAAGAACCUCAGAAUUUUGUUGCUAGUUGUGCAUGGAUAUGCAAACAUUUGUGUGCAAUGCACAGUUUGGGAUGAACUCUGUAACAUAUCCACUGGCACAGAGUUGUUACCCUAGCUUUUGGUUACUGUUUAUGGUUUUGACAGUGUGUCUUGACCACUGAGUGGCCAUAGCCAUCUGCAAUCCCCGGUUGUAAAGGAGUAGUGAGACUAUGUAUAAUUCAUAAUGGAGGCCAGUGUUAGAGCACCACAUUCUGUUGUCUGUGUACCACUUGGAUCUCAAUAAAGAUCAGAAGCCACGUUAAUUAUAUCCAUGUCCAAAUCGUUACAUAAAACAUGGGUUUCUGUAAUGAUUUCAAGUAGAUUUGUUUUUUCCCCCAAAAUUGUGUAUUCACAUACUGUGCCUUUGUAUUUCUCAUUGUUUCCGUUUUUCUUAAAAUUUAUGGAAUGUUCUACCUUGCAUACCCAGAGGUCUUGUCUGUUAGUGAAAAAGUUUAUAAAAAACUAUCAUUAGGUGAAAUUUGAUAUUCUGCCUACAAGUAAGUUUCAUUGUGUUAGGAAAUUAAAUCUGUCACUGGUAGUGAAGCCAUCGGUUUGGGAAAUGUCUGUACAUGUGGCCUGUCAUAAAAAAACAGUAAUUUGUAACUGUUAAAACAAUUCAAGUAGGAGUAAAAAGAAAGGUAAUUUACGUUGAUGUUAAUCGCAAUAUGUGGCCUUGCCAUAAGACUUUGAGUUAUUGUACUGUGUGCGUAUGCCAGUGUCAUGUGGCUCGUUCUUGUGCAUCAAGUUUUUUUUGUUAGCGCGCCAACAAUAGUAUCUAAAAUUGCCUGUAGGUGGCGAGAUCAUCGACUAAGCCAAAUCUUAGUUCGAGAAUGUGACAAAAGAUGGCGCAGGCAUGCAAUAAUAAUAAUAAUGGCGGAUGAGAAUUUAGUAGACCUGUACCCUUGGAAUUUUGGCAUGCGAACAUAGUAGUACAAUGAUGUGACUAUAGAUGGCAGAGAGUUGAGCAUUCUUUUUUUGCAUACCUCCGCCAUCUAUUGGUAAAUUUGGAUAUUAUGAGCGUGCUAACAGAAAAUCUUG